GUGCAGCCCUAAGUGGGUGGUAAACUCCAUCUAAGGCUAAAUAUGACCACGAGACCGAUAGCGAACAAGUACCGUGAGGGAAAGUUGAAAAGCACUUUGAAGAGAGAGUUCAAGAGUACGUGAAACCGUUUAGGGGUAAACCUGAGAAACCCGAAAGGUCGAAGGGAGAAAUUCAUUCGCGUUUCGCCGCAGGCGUGGGACGGUCGUGUGACGGAAAGCGUUCGCGUGUUUCCGCUCCUUUGGUCCUUCGAACCGGUGGCGAACGCGUGCACUUUUCUCCUGGUAGGACGUCGCGAUCCGUUGGGCGUCGGUCUACGGCUCGCGGUGGAGCCCGUUCGUAUCCGUACGAACGGACCCGCGUGUCCCGGCUGACUCGCUCGACGGUAUACGAAAGGUUUAAGGCCGCUCUCGGAGCGUUCGGCUCGUGGCAAGCGCGCCGGUUGUGUUGGCGAUCGGACCUAGUGCCGAUUCUAACCUCCGGUGACUGUUGGCCGCGAAGUUCUCGAACAGACCUUAAGACCGAUCUGCGACGCUAUAGCUUUGGGUACUUUCAGGACCCGUCUUGAAACACGGACCAAGGAGUCUAGCAUGUGCGCGAGUCAUUGGGAAUCAUUAAACCUAAAGGCGCAAUGAAAGUAAAGGUCUUCCUCGCGAGGACUGAGGGAGGACGGGCGGUUUACCCUUAAAAGUGGCCGCUCCGCACUCCCGGGGCGUCUCGUUCUCAUCGCGAGAAGAGGCGCACCAAGAGCGUACACGCUGGGACCCGAAAGAUGGUGAACUAUG
rnacentral:rRNA from 1 species